GACGCUUUACAUAAUUUGGACAGAAAGUGGAUUUGUGGACGGCAGAUUGAAAUACAGUUUGCCCAGGGGGAUCGAAAGACACCAAAUCAGAUGAAAGCCAAGGAAGGGAGGAAUGUGUACAGUUCUUCACGCUAUGAUGAUUAUGACAGAUACAGACGUUCUAGAAGCCGAAGUUAUGAAAGGAGGAGAUCAAGAAGUCGGUCUUUUGAUUACAACUAUAGAAGAUCGUAUAGUCCUAGAAACAGUAGACCGACUGGAAGACCACGGCGUAGCAGAAGCCAUUCCGACAAUGAUAGGUAAAUAACUUUGCUUUGAAAAAGACUCAAUGUAUUUUUUAAUUUCAGAGUGAACUUUUGCUCUAAAAAUAACAAAUUUGAUUAAUAUAGAAUCUAAUUUUUACUCUAAUUAUAUCUCUCCUCUGUUUUGAAAGAUUCAAACACCGAAAUCGAUCUUUUUCAAGAUCUAAAUCCAAUUCAAGAUCACGGUCCAAGUCCCAGCCCA
rnacentral:sRNA from 1 species